UCUUUUAUUGGUGAAAAGUUCGCAAUAUAUUCAAAUAAAGCCUUUUUUUCACUUCGGCGAGCGCGUGUCUGACACUCGCUCACCCACUUGUGGGUUUGGUGAAGGUACAAAAGAAGAUAAUUAACUUAACGGCUAUAUUUCUCUUUCUCCUUUUCUUCUUCUGUAGAAUUCUGAAUAGAGGAAACGAAGCAAUUCAAGCAGUUGGGGAAUUCGAUCUCCGCCGCUUUCAAACACCCUUGUCCAGCCAAUACUCCGAUGUGAUCCACUCUCACAUCCAAACAUUGGCUCACCGUCUUCUAGAACAAAAACGGCGUAGAAAUGGUCCCUCACAACUCUCUACUUGGAAUCUCCGACUCUGGCGUUCAGCUUGAUAUGGGCCUUCUCCUCUAUACGACCAAUGUGGUGUGUUGAAGACAGUGUGAAGGGGAGAGAGCUCUUGAUCUAGGAGAAUAAAGCUAUCUUGGAGGAAUACAGGAACUGUGUAAGAUUAGAGUUAUGGAUGGUGUACUUUCGAAAGUGUGCAGGGGAGGGAGGUGUUUGUAAAUAUUGUAAAGCCCAUGGAGGCUAAGAUAUGAUUGUAUAAUUCUUUUUUAAUAAGAAGAAAUGGUUUUAUGGUGUUUGGGAGCAGAGAAACACUCAGGGAUUGCCUGAGGUUCCCUUGCCCUCUAAGGUGAGUGUGGGUGUGGUGUUCUGUCUUCUUCUUCUCUCUUAUUUGCUUUCUUUUCCUUUCUAUUUUUUUCUCUGGAAUUUCUCUUUGUUUUUAUCUCUGUAUUUUCUCUCUGUUUUUUGCCUCUGUCUUUCUCUGAAAUCUUUUUCUCUUGAUUUUCUUUCUCUGUUGUGUUUGUUCUUUUACUUCCUCUUUUUUGUUAUCGCUUUACUUUUUAUCACUGCUUUUUCUUUUUGCUUCUUUUUUUCAUUUUUUUUUUUCUCUAUUUUCUUUUUCAACACCAUCUACUUCCCCUUGGUUUUCUUCUCUGUUACUUUUAAACUUUCUCUUACUGCUUUUUUUAUUUCUACUCCACUUUUCUUUCUAUUUUCUCUUGCUAGUUUCUUUAUGCACUUUAUCUCUAGUUUAUUUUCAAAGUGAAGUUACGUCAUAGGGUAAAUUGUUUAUUCCACAUGCUAUCAAUGGUCAUGUUUUGAUAUUUCCUUAACUAAGAAAUAUAAUACAUAAAAAGAAAAAAAAAAAGUUAACUCUACUUAUAUCUAGGUAUAAACUAUUUUUUUUUUUUU